GCUUUUCCCGCUCAGAUCAUUUGGCAUUGCACCGUCGGAGGCACCUGCUUGUCUGAAAAAUGCUACCUUGUCCCCCUCCCCCCGAAAAAAAAAUAUGGCUAUUGCAAGGACCAGAUGUCACAGCCUUUGAAAAAGAACAAGCCUCCUGGACCUCCACUUCAUGUGCUGCUGCUUCUCUCAGUCUCUCUUUCUCUCUCUUUCUGUACUCUUUUCUCUCUUUUUAACUCUCAAAACACUUCAGAAUAUCAUCAUCCUAGAUUAUUGAGUAAUCAGCAAUCCACAAAAGCCAGCUAUAUGGACUAGAAGGAUGAGGGAAGAAAAUGAAGCUCUUGGAAGUGCAAGAAUUUCUCAGCACACUUAUGCAAUAAAUAUGGUGGUAUUUUUUACAUAUUUACCCCCUUCAUCCUUACAUUGGACUUUUGAGGCCCUUAUCAAAAUUUAAAUUUUGCUGUUCUUAAAUUCUCUUUCUUUUCUGGUAUUUUUUUUCAAAGCAAAAUCUGCAAAACUGGUAUCAGAAACAUUUCUGUGUGAAAUAACUCUCUUUUUGCUUGAUUUAGAAUAGGAAGAGGUAAUUAAAAUGUUCUGUCAUGGUUACAUAGUAGAACAAAUGUUAGAGCAGCCUUCCUCAACCUGGCAUCCUUCCCAGUUGGACAACAACCUCCAUCAAUGUAGCCACUGGCUAAGGAUAAUGGGGAUUGUAGUCCAACAAACUUCAAGGACAGCACACAAGGAAAUGCUGUGUUAUGUCCAUCCUCGUUAAGCCGAUGUUUCAACUGUCACUUUUUUAAUUGCAAGUUAAUGAAUGUUCAAAUGUUCAUGUAUGACUUGUUCUAUCAUCUUUUGAUUACUCUGUAGUUGGUGACCGACAAGCAAAUGUGUAAACUGUCUUCUUUGCAGCAGUACUGCCUCUCGGAAGAACCAAUGCUAUAAACCUGUCCUGUUUUUGCCUGAUGGCAUAUUCACAUCUGCAGGUCCAACAGUUAAUUGUGUUGAGCAUGAAUGUGACCACCACCUGUUUGGCCUACUUGAGUUUAUUUCCAAUGUAGUUGUAUUUAAGAAUGCAGUAUAUAAGAUCCAUUGAAAGGGAACUACAUAUUUCAGUAGUGAAAAAUAGGGGAGGGGAUGAGUGGCUUUUGGUUUAAUUCAAAAGGGUUCUGAACAAUUGCUGUUUUCCAGACACAGAGUCUCAUGAUAAAUCUUACUUGUGCUAGUGAGAAUUAGUAAGAAAUAAGGGUGUAGAACUCUUGUUGUUUUAUUAGCCAACACAAGGCCAGUUUAGAACAGCUUUCCUGUAUUUUUCAUCUUUCAGGACAUUUUUGCAAAAAUUUCAUUUGCAGAAGAAAACCUUGUAUUUUGUACAAAAUACAAAGGCUUAUGUCGGGAAAUUGGAUCUUGCAAAAUGCUAUAUAUUCUUGCAGAGGAGUGUUGUUGCACAAAAUACUGUGGGUUUUGCACAAUGUUUUUUGCAAAAAAAAUAUCCCAAAAUGUUAGAAAUAAAUGCACAAUACUUUUAGUAUCAUAUUGCGACAUAUCAAGACAUACCUAAUGGAAGAUAAGAACAAAGUCCUGCUGGAUGGAGGCCAGACUAGUAAGAUAAAUUACCAGAGUCGGUCAUUCUCAAAGUGUGCAGAAAGCGACUCUUUGGAGCUGAAGAGAUGUUCUGUACCCAUCAAGUAGUCGUAAAUUGGCAAUGCCUAGUGACUGAGACAGAUAAGUGAGUGGUAUCCAAAUAACAAUUCAGACGAGUUAUUUUGGCAGGUAAAGUCAAAUGUCCCACACCCACUUCUUCCCUAACAGUAUUAAAACGCAAUAACAAUAAAUGUAGGACCUAACCAUCCCCUUUUAAUUAUAUCUAAACAAUCUGCUGCCUGAGGUGGUCUCCUUCCAUCUAAAAGUAGGGCUUCUUGCUCUGAUCGAGUAAGAAGUAGCCACGUCUCCCUCCAUCUAUAACAGAUGAAGCACACUGCAUUUAAAAAACAUUCAGUUUGAUCCUUUCUGUUGGUUUGGUUGGCCAGUUUUCAUAAUUAAGAAGACUAAAGAGUGCAGCAUGAAGAGACUUCCCCCAACUUUCCAGGUGAAUUAUAACUGCUAUUCUCCUCAGCCUUAAACUGGAACUGGUGAAAGUUUUAGUCCAAUACAGUCCAAUACAUGCAGAAGGAACCAUGCACUAGACUAGACUAGAAUAUAAAUCGACAGAUUAAUUAUAAAUCUUAAGAAAUGUAUCAGAUACCUCUCUUGGGUGUCCUUUGAAACUAAAUGAGAAAGAAUUUGUUAGCAUACUCUUGUGUAGAUUCAACUCUGCAAAAAAGAAAAAGUCUCUUAAUCUCUUAAUUCAAAAAGCUUUGCUUUUAAUUAGCCAUACCAGAGGUCUUGGUCUGAUAUCUAAAAUACUGAACUUGUAUGGAAUUUGUCAUAUAUCCUCACAGAUGUUUCUUAAAGAUGAGAUAUUACAAAAUCACAGAAUCAAAAAGCAUUGUGUCUACAAGUCCUGGCCCAGUGCCUAUAACAGGGUCUUUUAUACUGGAAUAUAUAAAAGUUACACCACGGUCCUUCAGGCUUUCUACUAAUCGGAUGGACAGGAUUCAGCUGAAUUUAAAUUUCAUUUAUUUCAAUAAAGAGAGUGAAACAUGCUUCAGCUAUUAUUCACAUUAAUUAGGAUUUAAAAUUUAAUUGUUUGGAUAGUUCCCAAUGUGUACAUGGCAGCUCUUGGUGUUUUCGGGAAAAUGGGAAUUCAUUGCUACACCCUUUGUUGGACAAAAUUCAACAUGACAAAAACAGUUAGGGAAUGAGGUAACCUAGAAUAUUUUUGAACAUUACCAAUAUGUUAUCUUUAUUGAUCUGAAUUGAAUGGAACAAGAGACUGGUGACCUUUUGUACUUGAACAACUGAUGCCCAGUAUCACAGUCACAGCCCAAUUGCUCUCAUUAGACAAGUGUAGCUUGUCCAUUCUGUCCAAUGAGAAGAGAGGCAAAAGUGUAGUGUUUGGAAAUGUUUCCCUCUCAUAGAAGAGAAAGGGAAAUCCCUAUCUGUGUAUGGCUGUGGACACACAGUCUAUAUUUAUGUAUAUAGGCAGUCCCCGGGUUACAAACAUCCAACUUACGAACAACUCAUAUUUACAAAUGGGGGUGAGACAACAGAAAGUGAGAGAAAUAUACCCUAAGGGGAAUUCACUCCUAAAAGUUAUCAUGGGAAAAAGGUGUCUCAACUGAAGCUUUAUCACCAACCCUUGUUUCCACAACAAGCCACAUUUUUCAAAAUUCAAUUAUCGCAGGGACAGAAAGUGCAGUGAAAUCUUCUAAACAGGGGGACAGACCGCAAAACAAAAAACCCAGGGGUGACAACCCUUCCCUUUCGUAUCCAAAGCUAAAAAUCUAUAUAUUUUUGGCUGGUGUUACACUUAAAACAUGUACCUGUUCUGACUUAUAAACAAAUUUAACUUAAGAACAAACCUACAGAACUUACCAUGUUCAUAAGUUGGGGACUGCCUGUACCUGCUUCUUUCUCCAGCCAUUUAGCUGAGAAGGGUUAUUUCCAGAUAUACACAAAUUAUCCUUAACAGUGUCAAUCUCUCCCCCUUUGUAUUGGCUUAAAUUUAUUAAUCAUUCAUAAUGAAUAGGAAAAGUUUUUUGAAUUAAAAUGUGUUCCAAAACUUAAAAAACAAUGAUCAGUUUUUAUCAAAUGUCAGGGUUACAAUUUUUACUGUUUUAAUAAAUAAGACAAUUAGCAAUUACCACUAUUCAUUUUCAUUACUGUGUAAUCAGUGGAUAUGAAAGUGGAAUAACAUAAACUAGUCUGUCUCCCCUCCCCCCAUCCCAUAUCAUAGAAUCAUAAAGUUGGAAGAGACCUUGUGGGCUAUCCAGUCCAACCCCCCUGCCAAGAAGCAGGAAAAUUGCAUUCAAAGCACCCCCAACAGAUGACCAUAUUUUGCUUCUUGUUCUUUAGAAUAUUGUGAGAAAUAACUCUUAUAAAAUGUCAUCAGUAAUAGCUAAAUGGGAGCGACAUAUUCAGGCAUAUUAUGCUGCUAGUGAUCUGAAGCUGUAGACAAACAAGAAAAGAAGGCAAUCACUGCUAUGCCCUGCUUAUGUGUUUUUUUUUCAGACAUCUGUUGGAUGCUGGAAUGGAGGACCAGUUCUUAGUUCAAUUUAGAAAGGUGAUGUCUACCGCAAAUGACAUCAUAAUGCAGGUGUUAUAAUAGGAGCAAACAGCCGAUGCCUCCCAGCAUUCCACAUUCAUUGUUAUUUUUGUUUUCAACAUUAAAUGGCUUAUUACACCUUCUUUGGGAAUAAGGGGGGAUUUCACCAUGUUUUGCAUUAGGGGGGAGGUUCAGAACUUGAAAUAACCUUGGCUUAAAUCUAGUUAGCUGUGUGUACCACCCCAACUUCUGGAAUUGCUCAUUUCUGUGCUAGAACAAGGGAUGUAUACUUUGGUAGUGGACUGCUCUGCAAGGAAGCCAAUGGAAUGAUGAAUUAAUUAUCCCGUUGGCUAAAUCCAAGAAUGCUUAGAUAGAUGUUCAUUUGUUUGCUUGUCUUAUUAGGAUGAUAGAGCUCCAGUGCACAUGAACUUUCUUUAGUUGUGGCUGCUGCAUAGUAAGAUGCCCUUCUUGCCACUUUUGUUAGCCUCCAUGUUGUCUCUGUAACAUAUUUGAUAUCAAUUCAUCUGAUAUAUUAAUAUGGGUCAGUUUAUUUCAGUCUUGGGAUGUUACAGUAAUAAAUGUAUCCUAGUGUCAUUAGCUAAGCAACAUAAUGAGCCAGUUGAAUUUACUAAGCAAGAGAAUCACCUUCACAAAAGAAAAUGUGGAGGUCUUUGGAAUUUUUUAUAACUACUGUUAAAAGUAGCUCACCAUUUAAAAAGAAAAUAAAGAUUCCAUUGGGAAUGAAGAAAUAAUUCCAGUGUAUCACUUCUCCGAUUAUCUGUUUGUUAAAACAGAAAUGGGAGGUUCUCCCCCACCCCAGUACUUACGCAUAGUUACACUGAUGGGAAAGAGAAUCAUACAGAAAUACACAUUUCUUAAAAUUUCUUAUAACUUGUACCAAUAAAGCUGGGUGUAUGUUUGAAGCUACAGAAUGUUGAGAAAGAGUCACUUUUUGAUAAGUCUUCUCUUUAUAAAUUAUAUCAUGCAAGUAAAAAUUAUCCCUUAUUCGUUUCAUAGUAGCAUGACAUACACAAAUUAAAGUGGAAUUCUGUGCAUUGUGUCAGAGCAGAUGCAAUCUGACCAUUUUUAUAGAUUAUCAACAAAAUUUCUCCCAUCCCCCUUCACUGAAAAAAGUCCAGACUAAAAUAAACUUACAAUCAAAUCCCAUUGGCCUUAAUGUAGUUUUAGCCAUGACAUAGGGGAUGUCUAUGUUACACAACAGUAGCAGUUUUUACCCUCUUCACUACUACAAUCCUGAGAUUUGUACUUUGGUGCAAUGGUAAGAAGUCUUUUUUGAGAGCUCCAUUGCUGUACUUCGAGAGAAAGGGCUCAGCACUCACUAGUAAAGACAAUUCCAGAUUCCUCAACACUCUACAAAUCACUUAAUUCCAUAGGAUGGAGCAAUGACAGCUAAUGUGGCAUCAAACUACUGUAAUUAUGCAGUAUUGGCUUAUCAAUGGAAACUUGAUAAGCUAAAGUAUAUGUAAGUUCCAACAAUAAUGAUGACAUUGGAUAUACAUCCUUGGUAAUUCAGUGAGAUUGGAUAAACACCGCUAAUGAGAGAAUUACAGCAACAGUUAACAGCCUUCAGUAGAAAUCAGAAUGUAACAAGCAGGCUUAUAUGUGGAAAGAUGAACACACAUAGCCAAGGUUCCAACACUCAUGGAAACAAACAGCACAGUGUUAAGGGAGACCAUAAAGUACAUCCGUUCACACUCAGGUCUGAUUAGUAAUACUUAUUCUGUCUUCACAUUCACAACAGAGAGAUAAUAAAUUCCAUGCCUAUCCUUUCCUUUUAUCUGUUGGAGCUUCUGAUAGAAAUGUCCUGCAUCUAUACAUUGCUUCUCAGACAGCCUCCCUCUUCAGUCAUGCUACUGGUGGGCAAAAUGAAAACAUUUCCCCUAACCCGACUCCAGCAUAGCCUCAGCAUUACACUCAUUUUGCCCAUCACCCCCUCUAAACGAUUUCUUUACGAAGAUAAAACGAUGUAAGCAGAUCAUUGGGCUGUCAGUCAACGCAAGGAAAGGAGAGGCAGAUUUACUUCUACUCUGUCUCGCUGUGUCUACUUGGAUCUGUUCAGGAGAAUGCUAAGUGAUAGUUAGUGCUAGAGAUGCCAUAUUCAUCUUAAUAUUUCUCAGAAUUGUUAGCGAUUAAACUGGGAGAAGCUGUGGCCGAUGAUUCUUGCUUGGUUCUAUAUUGCAGCAAUACACCAUUUGGUGCAAAUGAGUUUUUGUGCAAGGGUGUCACUGAUAACUGGUACAUUCUUUGUUUGUUAAUAAGAACCAAGAUAACUUUCUAGUUUUGUGGGAAAUGGGUAUGUCUAAGCAAAAGUAUUAUAGCACAAUCCUCUCCGUAUCUGCGCAGAUACAGUGUUCAGUGGGGCUUACUCCCAUGCACGUAGGUAUAAAGUUGCAACCUCAGCAUCCCAUUUUUUCAAAUCAUUUGUUCUAUUUUUAUUUUCAAAAGAAGAAAUCACCUCAGUUCUGUUUUCUAGGUUCUUUUAAGAAGAAGCAGCAAUCCAUAUCCUUCUGCCCCCAUUAAUAUAUAUCUACGUGGCCCCACAUAUGUGCAUACAGCAAAUUGUGCUCAGAAUCAAAACUGAAUUAAACACUUUCAUUUUUUAAAAAAAGUUGGAAAUAGCUUUUCUUUAGCCUAAAAUAAUUUUACCUUAUUAGAAAACCAGCUUGUAUUACUGUAUUAUGCCUUUGCCUGUGUUUUAUAGAUGAAGAUGUAUAAACUUAAAACUGCUAUAUUUUCACAGUUUCAUUAAAAAAGAAAGCCUGUAAUCGUGCAAUGUGUACUCAACCAGUCAUGCCCAUUGGUGCUUUUAAAUAGGCUGACAAUUCAGUGCUUAGGGAAAUUACUUGUGUUUUGACUACGGCUCCCUGAAUCCUCCAACCAGCAUGGAUAAUGGGAAUUGUAGCCCAAAACAGUCCCUUUCCCAAGCUCUGGCUGACAUCCAGCUGAUUCAAGUACCAACACACUUUUUAGUAUGAAGCUCAAUUAUACAAAUACUAUCUCUUUACAGGAAAAGGAAAAGCAAAUAAAAGAAAAUAAAAUAAAAUUGAAGGUAUUUUACUGUACUUGUAACAGUUUCAAUAUUCUGUAAUAUAUUAUGUGAUAGUGAAAAAAUAUUUUCAAGCUCACGGUUUUUCACAGGAUGUAAAUAAUUGAAACGGAUGUUUUUGAAAUGGAUGCUUUAGUUGUCACCACCAAAAAGAAAUGUUCUCAAGAAAAUGUAUUGUAAAACCUUCAUGACUCCAUUGAUUAUUCUUUUUUUAAAAAAAAUGGGAAAGAAUGUUCUAGUUUGUCAAAGCAUGUUGUCAAUAUAUCAUUUACCCUAGCCACUUGCAUUUGUAUUUGCUAAGAUUGUGUCAAUGGUUAGCGGAGUGACAUCUACUUGUUUGGUAAAUCGCUUUGUAACUGAAGCCAGCCAGGAAUUCAAUAUUGGCAUGAGGGAAUAGGUAGUAAACUUUGACUGUUCAAAGAAAAUAAGUCAGAUAUCCUCUGUGCAAGAUCAUAAGUGCAUUUAGUCAUGUGGACCCUGGCCUUCUUCUGCAGAACAUUUCAAUGAUUUUAUCUAAGGAUAACCUUGAAUAAGGUCAUCCUUAGAUUUAAAAAAAGGUUAUCUAGAUAACAUAAGAUUAUCUAGAAAUAAUCUUAUGGCAUGUUUUUUUUUUAAAAAAAACAUUGUUAUUGUGCUGUUAUAGUUUUACAGACCAGAGUCCACUUUACUAGUUGUAUAUCAUUUAUACUGGAGGUGCAUCCAUUGUAAACAGUGAGGACAUAGGGAAUAGAAUACAAAAUGUAUGCAUAUAGUGAUUAAUACAAUAAUGCUUAGCUCUGCUCAACAUCAUUUCAGUGAUCAUUGUUGAUGACAAUGGGAAAGCCCGUUAUCCCAAUCCAAGCGAUAGGUGACAGAACACAACCUCCUAAUAAAGAAUAAUUCAGUCAUUUUCAUUCAAGAGACUACCACUGAUGUUCCUGGGUCAAAAGAUGGUAACUUUGAACUUGGCAGCAAAAUGCGCCGAGAGCUUGAAACAUUCUCCGAGUCAUUUGUCUAGGUAUGUGUGUGCAUCCAUUUAUUCUGUUGUUCAGAAACUGGUCUCCUCAAUUAAUUUAUCAAUGUCACAAAUUAUUGGCCAAGAUCCAGGGGACAUAAUGUCUCUCAUAGAUAUGUCUCUGUGGCUACAAUUCCCAAUACUAUCCCUUAAAACUCCACUUGGGAGCCAUGCCCCAUCAAUAACAAUUUCUGAGGAUCACAGAGCAGAAAGGGACAGAAUUUCAAUGUAUACAAUUACCAAAAAAAAGUUCAUUACCUUCAUAAAGUAAAGGUACGAUACUGUAAAUUAGGCAAUAUCUACACUGCCACAUAAAUCAGUUUGAAACUGCAGUAUAUGUUCAGUGAUGUAAUUCAAUGUAGAUCCAGCUUUAGUAAGAGGAUGGCAGUCAUUAUUUUGAAUUGGUGGCAAUGUUCACUGGAAUGGUUCUGUACUCAUUUAGGCGUCACUGCACAUUUUGCAUUUCUUAUUCCUAUGACUUCACUGCUCACUAUUCCAACAUAUAGAUGCAUGUAUAUAUCAGUGCAGGAUAACAUGCCAUGCAAUUGGUGAUCUAGAUUUCAGUCAAGAAAAAAUGAUGCUAUAGAAGAGGCAACAAGGACAAGAAAUGCCAGGACAUGCUAGUAGAAGGAACAUAGUUUUCUUCACGUCUUCCUGAUCCCAGUAAACUGGACCGAAUGACAUCAGUUAAUUUACCAGAUAGGAAAAUCGAGUAUCAUAAAAUGUUACUCGAUACACCCCAUACCACCAUGAAAUUGGUGGUAUGGGUGUAUUCAGUUCAUUGACUCCUGUCCAGAUUUCAGUGCACAUGGUGGCUUUCUCAUGCUGGUCAUAUAAGAAAAAGAGAAGCUCUUUCUACUCUUUUUGUACCAUAAAAGAACUGCACUUUUUUCCAGCAUUGAAAAAUAGUCAUGUAUGAAGCAGUUUCAGGAUCCAGGUAGAGUAGUGGUUCCCAACCAUUGUUCCUCCAGUUGUUUUGGAUUUCAACUCCCAGAAAUCCCAGCCAGUUAACCAGCUGUUAAGAAUUGUAGGAAUUGAAGUUCAGAACACCUGGAGGACCAAAGAUUGGGAAUCAUUGAAUCGAAGAAAGAUGUGUUGACACACUAUAGCACACUGUUUUUAACCAUCUAAUUGAGUAAGAUAGGAAAACCAUUAUAAGGAAAGAUUGUUUCUGGUACUAAAUAUGGUAGCUGUUGACUUUCCAUUAAAUUGAUAUUCUUUUGCAUUUCCUCCUGUAACUGCACAAUUGAAAAGGGUCACGCUGACCUGGAUCCAACAGAAUUUACACAUAUCAAUCGAACUGUCUAGCAAAAGGAUUGUUAGGCUGGUUCACACUUACUUAGGAUCCUUUUAAUAACCUCGUUCCCUCCCUCUGACAUGCAAAUAAAGACAAUGUGUGAUGCAAUUGUUCUUCACAUAAACCAGGAUGUCAUUAUUCUUCCUCAAGAAAAGGGGAAUUAAUGAGUCAGAAAGUUAUGAAUCAUUCCCAACAUGCCUCCUGCCUUGGAGGGGUGCGGAGAAUCAAUAUCCUGUGAAAGAGAAGUUGGGCACCAGCUCCUUCACUUUGUAAAUGAGAUCCUCAGUAAGUGAGUACACUGAACCAGUCUGAAGGGAUAUUUUGGGGAUGUCCACUCCAUUUUGCAAGAUUAGCAACAAUUUGAGUGCCUGUCUAUGAACAUUAGAACAGAUGAGGAUGUGCUCUAUACUCUUUACAUAGCAAUAAACUCCAGUUGCAUUGUCAUAAGGCUGUUUUCAAUUUGGGAAGGAAGGGGGUGAGAUGGCACUGGAUCCCUGUAGAUACAACAUGGCAAAUCACAAAGUGCCAUUUGUCUACUCUCUGUCUUUCCCUCGAUUUCUUUUUUUCCAACCUGAUGUGCUUUCUGUGAGUAGGAUUUCUAUAUACCUAAGAGAGAGAAAACAAAUUUACAGGAGGGAAGGUGCUUUUUUAUACUAUACAGUUAGAAUGUUAUGGUUCCACUUUAACUGCUGUGGAAACAUCCUGGAGAACCUGGAUAUUUUUUAAUGAAGGGAGAGAUAUUUCGAAUUCUCUCUUACAAUGUUCUAGUUCCCCACGCUACUAUAAAUCCUUGGAUUCCAUAGGAUGUUCCAUGACAGUUAAAGGGUAAUCAUAAUGCCAAAAUUCUGUAGUGUGAAAGAGCCCUUGGAAAGUAGCACCAGGCCCUUCUAAUUGUAGAUCCAUUACAAGCACCCUCUCCCUCUAUGAGUAGAUACUGUUUAACAUGUUUCUUUCAAAACAGACAAAAUUAUAACUAGCAUGAGAACAAUUGGUGCCAUUAAAAUGCAUUCCAUUAAUGAAUAUUACCGCUAAAAUGAAGUCUCUCUCCCUCUCCCCCCCCCCCUCUAUAUAUAUAUGACCAUUCUACCCUCACAUUCAGUCACAUAUUUUCCAACACAUUUGGAUUAGGUCAUCAACUUCUUAUUUCUCGGGAAGAUGAAAGAAGAUUCAUGCUACUCUGGAUGGACCACUCAUGUUGACAUAUGUGGUCAUUCCAUUGGUCUUUUGCUUCCAAAUUUAUGUAAUACUAUAUUAUGCCAAGUCUAACAUAACUCCUGAUUUGAGCAGAUGUUAUUCCCAAAUUGCAAUGAACAAGGCUGCACCCUUUUAAACCAACUGAGCAAUACCAUUUUUCUACAAUUUAAGAAAUAAGUAUCAAAGUGACAAAAUUGACAGGACUGUUCACUUUUUACAAAACUAUUUUUCCUUUGUCUUAGAACAUGCAAGCAGGCAAUAUUGAAUAUUUUGAAAACUUUGAGAGAUAUUUAAAUAAUUGUUACCAACUCUUAUUUAUACUGAAAGUUUAACUUUUUAAAAAAUGUGAUGAAUACAGGCUUUAAAAAAAUGUUCAUAUCUUAAAACUAUUUGAUUCGUAUUGUAUAAUUUUGCUGGCAUAUUGACUGUGCAAAAUAUUUCAUUGUCACCCCAUAAUUCAUUUCAGCCUCUGGCUUGUUUGCACAAACAAGGUUUAAUCAGAAAUGGAAAUUAGAUGAACACAGAGUUUACUCUCAGGUCAACAGGCAGUUGCCAGCCCCUAUUAAAUUAAUUGCUGGGUCGCAUUGUUUCAAUUGCCCCACACUAAUUUGGACCAGCAAUAAAAUAUUUGUAUCUCUAAAAUACCAUUGCCAUUUUCUUAGAGGAAGAACAGGGAACAUGUGGCCUCCCUGGUGUCAUCGGGCUGAGACGGCCAGUGUUGAAGGGCCAUGCAAUCUUCAAUCUGCGUAAUCUUUGGUAUGGACGUAAAUCAUUCAUCAGUGGAGGUCCACUUGGAUCUGUUUUCCUGGGGAAGUUUUCUUACAUAACCCUCAUUGAAGUAAUGGGGAAUAAGAAGGGAAACUUGGUAAUGAUUUUGGUGUGAACAUCCUGAAAGUGUAAAUGAAACAUCUUUGUGUUCCUGGCUGGAAAACUCAAAUUCACAAGCCCUUAACUCAGUCCCAUCUUGGGAAACUUAAUGGACUGCAAUACAACUAUUCACAUCAAUGUUCAACAAGCCCACAAAGCAACUUGUGAAUCCAUCCAAUGGAAUACAACCCACCAGAUCCCUUGGAAGUUCCAUAAUAUUCCUGAUUUUCCUGCUGCUAUGAGUUUUACAAAAAUGUGUAUGUAGGAGAAUGUUGAGAAGAACAUUCAUGACAUAUCCUGUGAGCUGUAAUAAGUUGGUGGACUCACAAGUCAGUGCAAUGCUACUCAUGCUCAUUAAAUGCAAUUGAGUUGUUUUUCUGUUGCUCCUCUGCUUAAAAACAACAACAACAAAAUCCAUUUGUGGCUUCUUUGCUGUACUUGUUCUCUUGCUAGGAAGAGGAAGGGAAGAGGAAAUGGUACCACAUGUGGGAACACAAAUUGAAAACUGGGGAAAGUCAAAUACAUUGAAAGAGGCAGUCAAAGGCUGGGAAAUGUAUGGUUAUCAAUUCUCAUUAAGGCAGCAACAACAACAAAAGCCAUCAAUUGGUGGACCAGGGGAGGAGAACAGGUGAAUGAAUUUUUAAAAACCCACUAAUCCUCAUAAAAUGAGGUAGUCAUUUGUACCAACUACAUAAAAUAGGAUGGAAGUUUCACAUCAAACUUUUUUGUGCAGCAUUUGAUUAUCUUUCUUUAGUAUGAGAUGCAGCAUAUAUCAUUCAGUAUCCGUACGCCUCAAAAAUGCCCCCAGAAUUGAGUAUGUCCAUGCUAGCAAACAAAACCAUAGCUUCUUCCAUUGUAAUUCAUUAUGUUUCAAAACAGUUUUAAGUACAAAUGUAUUUCCUUUUCCUUUUUUAAAAACAAGCAUUUAAUUUCCUAAUAGUUUCCUCCCUGUGCAUUUAUAUGCUACAUAGUGAUUAAGCAACACCUAUGUUAUAAGUUUAUUAAUGAUUAUGUACGUGUUGUUCUUGUAUUUAUGUAUAGUGUAUGUAUUGUAAAUAUACUCAGAGCUUUUCCUCUUCUUUACUGUAAAACGGUGAUUUUUUUCUCUUUAUUUUGUUUGCCCAGCCAUCAUUGUAAAGGGAGUUCCCCCCACUCAAGAAACCCCAUCAGAGGACAAUUACUUCAUGAAUUAAGUGUUAACGUUUUUAAUGGUGUCUCAGACAUUAUUCUGUUGGUGCAUUGCUUUUAUGUAUUCAACUUUUCCUAUGAAUUGAGCUGUGAAUUGAAAUAGAGUUUAAAUCUUUAAAUGUAUGCAUUGGUAUAAAUAUCUGAAUGGAGGCAUGAAGGAUAAAUAAAGCAUUUUGUAUGGAA